AGAGUUUGAAUCCUGGCUCAGAACGAACGCUGGCGGCGUGCUUAAGACAUGCAAGUCGAACGGUAAGGCACCUUCGGGUGUACACGAGUGGCGCACGGGUGAGUAACGCGUGGGUAAUCUGCCUUCGGGUUUGGGACAACUCCGGGAAACUGGAGCUAAUACCGAAUAAGACCACGAAGUCUCCGGACUUCGCGGAAAAAGGUGGCCUCUUCUUGAAAGCUAUCGCCUGUAGAUGAGCCCGCGUCCCAUUAGUUUGUUGGUGAGGUAAAAGCUCACCAAGGCAUCGAUGGGUAGCUGGUCUGAGAGGAUGAUCAGCCACACUGGAACUGAGACACGGUCCAGACUCCUACGGGAGGCAGCAGUCGGGAAUCUUGCACAAUGGGCGAAAGCCUGAUGCAGCAACGCCGCGUGAGGGAUGAAGGCCCUCGGGUCGUAAACCUCUGUCGGGAGGGAAGAAAGGAUCUCGAGCCAAUACCUCGGGAUUUUGACGGUACCUCCAAAGGAAGCGCCGGCUAACUCCGUGCCAGCAGCCGCGGUAAUACGGAGGGCGCAAGCGUUGUUCGGAAUCAUUGGGCGUAAAGCGCGUGUAGGCGGCUUGGUAAGUCGGAUGUGAAAGCCCGGGGCUCAACCCCGGAAAUGCAUUCGAAACUGCCUCGCUUGAGUCUCGGAGAGGAGGGCGGAAUUCCCGGUGUAGAGGUG
rnacentral:rRNA from 1 species